GGGGGGGGUGCUAUACUGCAGUCGAACGCUUUUUCUUUCACCGGAGCUUGCUCCACCGAAAGAAAAAGAGUGGCGAACGGGUGAGUAACACGUGGGUAACCUGCCCAUCAGAAGGGGAUAACACUUGGAAACAGGUGCUAAUACCGUAUAACACUAUUUUCCGCAUGGAAGAAAGUUGAAAGGCGCUUUUGCGUCACUGAUGGAUGGACCCGCGGUGCAUUAGCUAGUUGGUGAGGUAACGGCUCACCAAGGCCACGAUGCAUAGCCGACCUGAGAGGGUGAUCGGCCACACUGGGACUGAGACACGGCCCAGACUCCUACGGGAGGCAGCAGUAGGGAAUCUUCGGCAAUGGACGAAAGUCUGACCGAGCAACGCCGCGUGAGUGAAGAAGGUUUUCGGAUCGUAAAACUCUGUUGUUAGAGAAGAACAAGGAUGAGAGUAGAACGUUCAUCCCUUGACGGUAUCUAACCAGAAAGCCACGGCUAACUACGUGCCAGCAGCCGCGGUAAUACGUAGGUGGCAAGCGUUGUCCGGAUUUAUUGGGCGUAAAGCGAGCGCAGGCGGUUUCUUAAGUCUGAUGUGAAAGCCCCCGGCUCAAC
rnacentral:rRNA from 1 species